GCCGGCAUAGCACAACUGGUAGUGCAACUGAUUUGUAAUCAGUAGGUUGGGAGUUCGAGUCUCUCUGCCGGCACCA
rnacentral:tRNA from 1 species